rnacentral:rRNA from 1 species
GAUGAACGCUGGCGGCGUGCCUAAUACAUGCAAGUCGAGCGAACGGACGAGAAGCUUGCUUCUCUGAUGUUAGCGGCGGACGGGUGAGUAACACGUGGAUAACCUACCUAUAAGACUGGGAUAACUUCGGGAAACCGGAGCUAAUACCGGAUAAUAUUUUGAACCGCAUGGUUCAAAAGUGAAAGACGGUCUUGCUGUCACUUAUAGAUGGAUCCGCGCUGCAUUAGCUAGUUGGUAAGGUAACGGCUUACCAAGGCAACGAUGCAUAGCCGACCUGAGAGGGUGAGCGGCCCCACUGGAACUGAGACACGGUCCAGACUCCUACGGGAGGCAGCAGUAGGGAAUCUUCCGCAAUGGGCGAAAGCCUGACGGAGCAACGCCGCGUGAGUGAUGAAGGUCUUCGGAUCGUAAAACUCUGUUAUUAGGGAAGAACAUAUGUGUAAGUAACUGUGCACAUCUUGACGGUACCUAAUCAGAAAGCCACGGCUAACUACGUG